AACGAACGCUGGCGGCAUGCCUAACACAUGCAAGUCGAACGAGACCUUCGGGUCUAGUGGCGCACGGGUGCGUAACGCGUGGGAACCUGCCCUUAGGUUCGGAAUAACUCCCCGAAAGGGGUGCUAAUACCGGAUAAUGUCUUCGGACCAAAGAUUUAUCGCCUUUGGAUGGGCCCGCGUUGGAUUAGCUAGUUGGUAGGGUAAAAGCCUACCAAGGCGACGAUCCAUAGCUGGUCUGAGAGGAUGAUCAGCCACACUGGGACUGAGACACGGCCCAGACUCCUACGGGAGGCAGCAGUGGGGGAUAUUGGACAAUGGGGGGAAGGCUGAACCAGCAAUGCCGGGUGAGUGAUGAAGGCCUUAGGGUUGUAAAGCUCUUUUAACCGGGAUGGUAAUGACAGUACCGGGAGAAUAAGCUCCGGCUAACUCCGUG
rnacentral:rRNA from 1 species